CUCAGAUGUGCCGUCCAGGUGCCACCAGCAGGGACUUCUUGCUUGCGGUAUUACUGCAUACUGUUUCAUAUAGUGGUUAGCAAUUAUCAUUUUUCUUUUAAGUUGGGGUCUCAGUCUGUUAGUCUGCACUUAGGCUGGAGUGCACUGAUGCAAUCACAGCUCAAUGAGACCUCGAAUUCCUGGGCUCAAGCCAGGCUCCCACCUCAGCCUCCUGAAUAGCUGUGACUACAGGUCACAACUAAUUAAAUUUUUUUUUUUUGUAGAGACAAGAUCUUGCUAUGUUGCCCAGCAUGGUCUUGAACUCCUGUGCUCAGGCAACCCUUCCACCUUGGCCUUCCAAAGCACUGGGAUUACUGGCAUGAGUCGCCAUACCUGCAAUGCCAACAAUUUUAUUUUUAUUGGUAUUGGUCAUAGAAACAGGAAGCUGGUACACGCAAUAGUGUGGGCUACAGGCUUUGAUAGAAUGGUGGCUAACAACAACAACUGA
ensembl:lncRNA